UUUAUGGAGAGUUUGAUCCUGGCUCAGGAUGAACGCUGGCGGCGUGCCUAAUACAUGCAAGUCGAGCGAACGGACGAGAAGCUUGCUUCUCUGAUGUUAGCGGCGGACGGGUGAGUAACACGUGGAUAACCUACCUAUAAGACUGGGAUAACUUCGGGAAACCGGAGCUAAUACCGGAUA
rnacentral:rRNA from 1 species